UUUUUUCCGUUAAAUUAAAUCAAAUUCUUUAUUUGCAUGAAUAUAGUUAAUACAUGAGGUGUUAUUAGUUGCAAUGUCUCAUAUAAUCUACCUUAAACGGCGUGCAAAUUUUUGUUCCAUUUAUAAUUAUAA